rnacentral:rRNA from 1 species
CCUACGGGAGGCAGCAGUGAGGAAUAUUGGUCAAUGGACGAGAGUCUGAACCAGCCAAGUAGCGUGAAGGAUGACUGCCCUAUGGGUUGUAAACUUCUUUUAUAUGGGAAUAAAACGUUCCACGUGUGGGAUUUUGUAUGUACCAUAUGAAUAAGGAUCGGCUAACUCCGUGCCAGCAGCCGCGGUAAUACGGAGGAUCCGAGCGUUAUCCGGAUUUAUUGGGUUUAAAGGGAGCGUAGAUGGGUUGUUAAGUCAGUUGUGAAAGUUUGCGGCUCAACCGUAAAAUUGCAAUUGAUACUGGCAGUCUUGGGUACAGUUAAGGUAGGCGAAAGUGGUGGUGUAGCGGUGAAAUGCUUGGAUAUCACGAAAAACUCCGAU